rnacentral:tRNA from 1 species
GGGGUUGUGGCUCAGUGGUAGAGCACUUGCCUUGCAUGCAUGAGGCACUGGAUUUGAUCCUCAACACCA